AGUCCAGUACUCCUAUCCCUACCUCCCCGUGGUGCCGCCUGGGGUACGAGUAACCGUAGCCUGGUGGGACAUUGGUCGUAUGCUGACAGGGAAGG
rnacentral:ribozyme from 1 species